CAGUAGCCACGGUAAUACGAAGGUCCCAAGCGUUGUUCGGAAUCACUGGGCGUAAAGGGAGCGUAGGCGGCGUGGUAAGUCAGAUGUGAAAUCCCGGGGCUCAACCCCGGAACUGCAUUUGAUACUGCCAUGCUUGAGGGUUGGAGAGGUAGCUGGAAUUCUUGGUGUAGCAGUGAAAUGCGUGGAUAUCAAGAGGAACACUCGUGGCGAAGGCGAGCUACUGGACAACAUCUGACGCUGAGGCUCGAAGGCUAGGGUAGCGAAAGGGAUUAGAUACCCGAGUAGUCCCUGUCUCUUAUAA
rnacentral:rRNA from 1 species